AGAGUUUGAUCCUGGCUCAGGAUGAACGCUAGCUACAGGCUUAACACAUGCAAGUCGAGGGGCAGCAUGGUCUUAGCUUGCUAAGGCCGAUGGCGACCGGCGCACGGGUGAGUAACACGUAUCCAACCUGCCGUCUACUCUUGGACAGCCUUCUGAAAGGAAGAUUAAUACAAGAUGGCAUCAUGAGUCCGCAUGUUCACAUGAUUAAAGGUAUUCCGGUAGACGAUGGGGAUGCGUUCCAUUAGAUAGUAGGCGGGGUAACGGCCCACCUAGUCUUCGAUGGAUAGGGGUUCUGAGAGGAAGGUCCCCCACAUUGGAACUGAGACACGGUCCAAACUCCUACGGGAGGCAGCAGUGAGGAAUAUUGGUCAAUGGGCGAGAGCCUGAACCAGCCAAGUAGCGUGAAGGAUGACUGCCCUAUGGGUUGUAAACUUCUUUUAUAAAGGAAUAAAGUCGGGUAUGCAUACCCGUUUGCAUGUACUUUAUGAAUAAGGAUCGGCUAACUCCGUGCCAGCAGCCGCGGUAAUACGGAGGAUCCGAGCGUUAUCCGGAUUUAUUGGGUUUAAAGGGAGCGUAGAUGGAUGUUUAAGUCAGUUGUGAAAGUUUGCGGCUCAACCGUAAAAUUGCAGUUGAUACUGGAUAUCUUGAGUGCAGUUGAGGCAGGCGGAAUUCGUGGUGUAGCGGUGAAAUGCUUAGAUAUCACGAAGAACUCCGAUUGCGAAGGCAGCCUGCUAAGCUGCAACUGACAUUGAGGCUCGAAAGUGUGGGUAUCAAACAGGAUUAGAUACCCUGGUAGUCCACACGGUAAACGAUGAAUACUCGCUGUUUGCGAUAUACAGCAAGCGGCCAAGCGAAAGCGUUAAGUAUUCCACCUGGGGAGUACGCCGGCAACGGUGAAACUCAAAGGAAUUGACGGGGGCCCG
rnacentral:rRNA from 1 species